rnacentral:rRNA from 1 species
AUUGAACGCUGGCGGUAGGCCUAACACAUGCAAGUCGAACGGCAGCACAGAAGAGCUUGCUCUUUGGGUGGCGAGUGGCGGACGGGUGAGUAAUGUCUGGGAAACUGCCCGAUGGAGGGGGAUAACUACUGGAAACGGUAGCUAAUACCGCAUAACGUCGCGAGACCAAAGUGGGGGACCUUCGGGCCUCACACCAUCGGAUGUGCCCAGAUGGGAUUAGCUAGUAGGUGGGGUAAUGGCUCACCUAGGCGACGAUCCCUAGCUGGUCUGAGGGGAUGACCAGCCACACUGGAACGGAGACACGGUCCAGACUCCUACGGGAGGCAGCAGUGGGGAAUAUUGCACAAUGGGCGCAAGCCUGAUGCAGCCAUGCCGCGUGUAUGAAGAAGGCCUUCGGGUUGUAAAGUACUUUCAGCGGGGAGGAAGGCGGUGAGGUUAAUAACCUCGCCGAUUGACGUUACCCGCAGAAGAAGCACCGGCUAACUCCGUGCCAGCAGCCGCCGUAA